UGACCGCUGGCGGCAUGCCUUCCACAUGCAAGUCGAACGGCAGCACGGGUGCUUGCACCUGGUGGCGAGUGGCGAACGGGUGAGUAAUACAUCGGAACAUGUCCUGUAGUGGGGGAUAGCCCGGCGAAAGCCGGAUUAAUACCGCAUACGAUCUACGGAUGAAAGCGGGGGACCUUCGGGCCUCGCGCUAUAGGGUUGGCCGAUGGCUGAUUAGCUAGUUGGUGGGGUAAAGGCCUACCAAGGCGACGAUCAGUAGCUGGUCUGAGAGGACGACCAGCCACACUGGGACUGAGACACGGCCCAGACUCCUACGGGAGGCAGCAGUGGGGAAUUUUGGACAAUGGGCGAAAGCCUGAUCCAGCAAUGCCGCGUGUGUGAAGAAGGCCUUCGGGUUGUAAAGCACUUUUGUCCGGAAAGAAAUCCUUGGCCCUAAUACGGUCGGGGGAUGGCGGUACCGGAAGAAUAAGCACCGGCUAACUACGUG
rnacentral:rRNA from 1 species